UUCCUUAUUAAAUUUUGUGAUGAGGUCAUUGAUGCAUAUGGUGGGGUUGCUGUUAUUCACAUUAAAUCCAAAGCCAAUAAGUAUAUGAAAUGUUGUCUCAAUAAGUGUAGAGGUUACCAGAACUCCACCAAGCUUCAUAAGAUCACUGUAAUAAAUAUCAUUUGGCCAUUUUACUCGCAGGUCAAUAUCCUCAUAUCCUGGUAUUGAUCUAACCGACUCUACCACUGCCAAGGACACUAGGUGUUGAAUAAAAGGAAUUCUCUGGCCCAAGUUGGAAUGUAAAGGGAUUGUGAUAUGUAAAGUGGAUAGUGCACAACCAAUGGGACUGAGCCAAACAUUUCCGCCACGACCUUUCCCUUGUGUUUGUCGAACAGCAAUUGCUAUUAAACCCAUCUCCUCAGGCAACUUGAACAUUAACCCGUCUAGAAGAUUCAUUGUUGUGGUGGUAACUUCAGUAAAGAAAAGAAUCUUUCCAAGUUUCUUUGUUUGUAGAUUCUGCUGAUAUGUCUCCAGGCUGAAAUGUUCUGAUGAGAAGUUUCCCAUCUUGGUGAUGACUGACAUGAGAGAUGGAGUUAUCUCCAUUUUCGAUUCACAAGAUGAAACAAAUUUAAGAGACACUUUGCUGGAUUCUAUUAAUCCUUCAACAUUUACAUUCUCCUCAAGCCAUUUCAAAAACGUAAGAUGGAUUUCCUCAUCAGAAGAGAGAAGGUAAAUAGGCGUCAACAUAGGAAUCUCACUUAAUUCACAACUCAGCCCAAGUGAUAUCAGAAUCUCCUUGAGAACUUCAUAUCUCUUGGGAUUGCUCAUCUUAAGCAAAUUAAAAUCCUCUUCAGUUUGGAUAUCCACAGAAUUGGUAUCCAGUUCCAAAUGCACCUGAGAAAGAAUGGCUUCUCCUCCAUUGUCUCCAUAAGGCAGAUAAACAAUAACUAUAUCUUUAUCAGCAUUAUUUAAGCGACUCAAUGGCUUCACUUUGCUGCUCCC
rnacentral:lncRNA from 1 species